UACGUAGGGUGCAAGCGUUAAUCGGAAUUACUGGGCGUAAAGCGUGCGCAGGCGGUUGUGCAAGACAGAUGUGAAAUCCCCCGGGCUCAACCUGGGAAUUGCAUUUGUGACUGCACGGCUAGAGUGUGUCAGAGGGGGGUAGAAUUCCACGUGUAGCAGUGAAAUGCGUAGAGAUGUGGAGGAAUACCGAUGGCGAAGGCAGCCCCCUGGGAUAACACUGACGGCGUCAUCGCACGAAAGCGUGGGGAGCAAACAGG
rnacentral:rRNA from 1 species